CCUACGGGAGGCAGCAGUGAGGAAUAUUGGUCAAUGGCCGGAAGGCUGACCCAGCCAUGCCGCGUGAAGGUCAGUGCCCUAUGGGCGUUAAACUUCUUUUGUGCGGGAGCAAUAAUGGUCACGUGUGGCCAGACGAGAGUACCGUACGAAUAAGCAUCGGCUAACUCCGUGCCAGCAGCCGCGGUAAUACGGGGGAUGCAAGCGUUAUCCGGGUUUAUUGGGUUUAAAGGGUGCGUAGGCUGUGAGGUAAGUCAGCGGUGAAAUGCCCCCGCUCAACGGGGUGAAGUGCCAUUGCUACUGCCUUGCGGGAAUGCGGAUGCCGUGGGAGGAAUGGGGGGUGUAGCGGUGAAAUGCAUAGAUAUCACAAAGAACACCGAUUGCGAAGGCAUCUCACGAAUCCGCGAUUGACGCUGAUGCACGAAAGCGUGGGUAUCAAACAGGAUUAGAUACCCAGUC
rnacentral:rRNA from 1 species